CUCCAGGUGCCUGGGCUGCUGCCUGCUAGCCCCCUGGCUGUGUGCAAGGGGUGCCUUUCUGAGAGUUCUUUGGCAUGUUUUCUGGCCCCCAACAUUUUUAAAGCAAAUUUCUCUAUCAGUUGGCUCUUCCUCCUGCGUUUAUUUAUUCCUUCAACGAACUCGUUGAACAUGCACAAUGAUAGCACUGACGCCAACAUCUAUUGAGUGCUCAUUACAUUCGAGGAGCCAUGAUGAGCCCAAGAGAAGGGAGACUGAUAAAAAGGAUCAUCGAACUCCUACCUCUGGACAAGGCGCCGGGCUGGGCCCCCUGCAGGGAACUUUCGAGCCAGAUACGGGCCUGAGAUACGGGUUGCAUAGCACGCAUCCUGCCUAUUAAUAACUGUAAGUCCUUGUGCAAGCCAUGGCCCCUCCCGGAACCUCAACACUCCAGUUGUCUCAUAGGCAAAUUGUCCUGCCUGCCUUGCUGGGUUCCAAGGUGACCCAAAGAAUUUGCGGCUGUGAAACUACUCUGCAAACCCUCAAAUGCCAUCCACUUGGAAAGUGUGCUUGUGGAGGCCACGAAGCUGUUGACAGCUGCUGUUUGGCAUUGGCUGGGAGGAAGGUCAGAGCGUCCAGUGCUCAUGCAUGUGAACUCUGGGACUUCACAUGCUGGGAACAUCAUUGGGAGACACCAGCUGACCCCCCUUGUCCCCAGGGAGCAAAUGUGCCUGGCUCACUGUCCCCGUGGACGUGAGUGAAGCAUUUACACAACACAAGCAAGGCUUCCAGAGCAUCCUAGAGCAAUGUUAACUUUUUUCAGUGCUCCGUGAAUGUCGUCUUUACACCUGUUAUCUCAUUCAUUUAACCUUCCUAGUGACUCUAGGAAACAGGUACUGUUCCGAUUUUUAAGUCGAGGAACAUGAAGCCCAGAGAAGUAUAGAAAUGUGCAAAAGGAUAGAGGUAGUUAGGGC
rnacentral:lncRNA from 1 species